AGUGAACGCUGGCGGUAGGCCUAACACAUGCCAGUCGAACGGCAGCACAGUAAGAGCUUGCUCUUACGGGUGGCGAGUGGCGGACGGGUGAGGAAUACAUCGGAAUCUACUUUUUCGUGGGGGAUAACGUAGGGAAACUUACGCUAAUACCGCAUACGACCUACGGGUGAAAGCAGGGGAUCUUCGGACCUUGUGCGAUUGAAUGAGCCGAUGUCGGAUUAGCUAGUUGGCGGGGUAAAGGCCCACCAAGGCGACGAUCCGUAGCUGGUCUGAGAGGAUGAUCAGCCACACUGGAACUGAGACACGGUCCAGACUCCUACGGGAGGCAGCAGUGGGGAAUAUUGGACAAUGGGCGCAAGCCUGAUCCAGCCAUACCGCGUGGGUGAAGAAGGCCUUCGGGUUGUAAAGCCCUUUUGUUGGGAAAGAAAAGCAGCAGGUUAAUACCCCGCUCUUCUGACGGUACCCAAAGAAUAAGCACCGGCUAACUUCGUG
rnacentral:rRNA from 1 species